rnacentral:rRNA from 1 species
AGUGAACGCUGGCGGCAGGCCUAAUACAUGCAAGUCGAACGGCAGCACAGCAGAGCUUGCUCUGUGGGUGGCGAGUGGCGGACGGGUGAGGAAUACAUCGGAACGUACCCUGAAGUGGGGGAUAACGUAGCGAAAGUUACGCUAAUACCGCAUAUUCUGUGAGCAGGAAAGAGGGGAUCGCAAGACCUCUUGCUUUAGGAGCGGCCGAUGUCGGAUUAGCUAGUUGGUGAGGUAAGGGCUCACCAAGGCGACGAUCCGUAGCGGGUCUGAGAGGAUGAUCCGCCACACUGGGACUGAGACACGGCCCAGACUCCUACGGGAGGCAGCAGUGGGGAAUUUGGACAAUGGGCGCAAGCCUGAUCCAGCAUGCCGCGUGAGUGAAGAAGGCCUGU